GAUGAACGCUGGCGGCGUGCCUAAUACAUGCAAGUCGAGCGAGCGGGGACGGGUGAGGAACACCUGGAUAACCUCCUAUAAUACCGGGAUAAUUUCGGGAAACCGCAGCUAAACGCAUUACUUCUUGAUGUGUCUUAGCUGGAUUAGCUAGUUGGUAAGUUACAGGCUUACCAAGGCAACGAUGCCUAGCCGACCUGAGAGGGUGAGCGGCCACACUGGAACUGAGACACGGUCCAGACUCCUACGGGAGGCAGCAGUAGGGAAUCUUCCGCAAUGGGCGAAAGCCUGACGGAGCAACGCCGCGUGAGUGAUGAAGGUUUUCGGAUCGUAAAACUCUGUUAUUAGGGAAGCGGUACCUAAUCAGAAAGCCACGGCUAACUACGUGCCAGCAGCCGCGGUAAUAC
rnacentral:rRNA from 1 species